UGUGACUACCAAAUCGAGCCGUUAAAGCUCAUGGCUUAUCAUGAUGACUCUGAGAGAUCUCUUUGUAAUUCGGUCAUUUUGUCCCAUUUGAAAAUGGAGGUAGCCAUGAAAAUAAAGCCACGUCAUUCUUCUCUGAUUGUCAACUCACAGCAUUAAUGGAGGUGGCCCCCACGAGCUAUAAGGUGAUACCACUCACCAAUCAAGGUGAAUCAAAAGGU
rnacentral:lncRNA from 1 species